GGGCAGGUAGCUCAGUCGGUAGAGCAAAGGACUGAAAAUCCUUGUGUCGGGGGUUCAAUUCCCUCCCUGCCCA
rnacentral:tRNA from 3 species